UACGGAGGGGGCGAGCGUUAUUCGGAAUCAUUGGGCGUAAAGGGUGCGCAGGCGGUUGAGUGUGUCAGAUGUGAAAUCCCGAGGCUUAACCUCGGAACUGCGUCUGAAACUACUCGACUAGAGUACUGGAGAGGGUAACGGAAUUCACGGUGUAGCAGUGAAAUGCGUAGAUAUCGUGAGGAACACCAGAGGCGAAGGCGGUUACCUGGACAGUUACUGACGCUCAGGCACGAAAGCAUGGGGAGCAAAAGGG
rnacentral:rRNA from 1 species